CCAGGUGGUCAUAGCGAGGGCCCCCCACCCGAUCCCAUCCCGAACUCGGACGUGAAACCCCUCUGCGCCGAUGGUACUGUGUCUUAAGGCACGGGAGAGUAGGACGCUGCCUGGU
rfam:Magnetospirillum magneticum AMB-1 DNA, complete genome.